UGAAAUCAGUGUCUUUAUGUCUCAAAUUGGGCAUUGUAGUAAGAUGAGGCCCUGAAAACAUAAACUCUUGUAUCAGAGGCCCAGUCUGAGGCCUGAAGCCUGAACCAAAGUACUUCAAGGCAUUGCUAAGCAAAGGCUGGGCUGUGAGCCAGAGGCAGGCCCCACUCACAGAAGUUGGCAAGA